rnacentral:tRNA from 1 species
GAAGGGAUAGCUCAGUGGUAGAGGGUGUGCUCAGCAUGCUUAAGAUCCUGGAUUCAAUCCCCAGUACCUCCA